rnacentral:rRNA from 1 species
CCUGGCUCAGAUUGAACGCUGGCGGCAGGCCUAACACAUGCAAGUCGAGCGGUAACAGGACUAGCUUGCUAGUUGCUGACGAGCGGCGGACGGGUGAGUAACGCGUAGGAAUCUACCAAGUAGUGGGGGAUAAGCCAGAGAAAUUUGGUCUAAUACCGCAUACGUUCUUCGGAAGAAAGGAGGGGAUCUUCGGACCUUUCGCUAUUUGAUGAGCCGCGUGAGAUUAGCUUGUUGGUGAGGUAAUGGCUCACCAAGGCGACGAUCUCUAGCUGGUCUGAGAGGAUGAUCAGCCACACUGGGACUGAGACACGGCCCAGACUCUUACGGGAGGCAGCAGUGGGGAAUAUUGCACAAUGGGGGAAACCCUGAUGCAGCCAUGCCGCGUGUGUGAAGAAGGCCCUAGGGUUGUAAAGCACUUUCAGCAGUGAGGAAAGGGUGAUGGUUAAUACCCAUCAUCUGUGACGUUAACUGCAGAAGAAGCACCGGCUAACUCCGUGCCAGCAGCCGCGGUAAUACGGAGGGUGCGAGCGUUAAUCGGAAUUACUGGGCGUAAAGCGCGCGUAGGUGGAUUGGUCAGUCAGAUGUGAAAGCCCAGGGCUCAACCUUGGAACUGCACCUGAUACUGCCAGUCUAGAAUACGGUAGAGGGUAGUGGAAUUUCCUGUGUAGCGGUGAAAUGCGUAGAUAUAGGAAGGAACACCAGGUGGCGAAGGCGACUACCUGGACCGAUAUUGACACUGAGGUGCGAAAGCGUGGGGAGCAAACAAGAUUAGAUACCCUGGUAGUCCACGCCGUAAACGAUGUCUACUAGCCGUUGGGGGACUUGAUCUUUUAGUGGCGCAGCUAACGCGAUAAGUAGACCGCCUGGGGAGUACGGCCGCAAGGUUAAAACUCAAAUGAAUUGACGGGGGCCCGCACAAGCGGUGGAGCAUGUGGUUUAAUUCGAAGCAACGCGAAGAACCUUACCAACUCUUGACAUCCUGCGAACUUGCUAGAGAUAGCUUGGUGCCUUCGGGAGCGCAGAGACAGGUGCUGCAUGGCUGUCGUCAGCUCGUGUUGUGAAAUGUUGGGUUAAGUCUCGUAACGAGCGCAACCCUUGUCCUUAUUUGCCAGCACUUCGGGUGGGAACUCUAAGGAGACUGCCGGUGACAAACCGGAGGAAGGUGGGGACGACGUCAAGUCAUCAUGGCCCUUACGAGUUGGGCUACACACGUGCUACAAUGGCCGGUACAGAGGGCUGCGAACCUGCGAGGGUAAGCUAAUCUCAGAAAACCGGUCGUAGUCCGGAUUGGAGUCUGCAACUCGACUCCAUGAAGUCGGAAUCGCUAGUAAUCGCGAAUCAGAAUGUCGCGGUGAAUACGUUCCCGGGCCUUGUACACACCGCCCGUCACACCAUGGGAGUGGAUUGCACCAGAAGUAGCUAGCUUAA